rnacentral:rRNA from 1 species
AUUGAACGCUGGCGGCAGGCUUAACACAUGCAAGUCGAGCGAGCGGCGGACGGGUGAGUAAUGUCUGGGAAACUGCCUGAUGGAGGGGGAUAACUACUGGAAACGGUAGCUAAUACCGCAUACCAUCAGAUGUGCCCAGAUGGGAUUAGCUCGUAGGUGGGGUAAUGGCUCACCUAGGCGAAGAUCCCUAGCUGGUCUGAGAGGAUGACCAGCCAAACGGGAACUGAGACACGGUCCAUGAGCUGACGGGAGGCAGCAGUGGGGAAUAUUGCACAAUGGGCGCAAGCCGGAUGCAGCCAUGCCGCGGGUGUGAAGAAGGCCUUCGGGGUGUAAAGCACUUUCAGCGAGGAGGCGUUACUCGCAGAAGAAGCACCGGCUAACUCCGUGCCAGCAGCCGCGGUAAUAC